CAAUGGCAUGAAUCCUAUAGUAUAAGUUCUUUUCCUCUUCAUGAGUUCAUGUAUUCUGAGAAGCUAAAAGCCUAUAUUCCUACAUGUCUAUAUAAGAUAAGAGACAUGAUAUGAUGAUGCCAUAUUGAUAAUGAUGUCAUUUAUUGCUUACACUCACCUUAUGUACUAAUUCCUUCAAGGUGAGGUGGAAUGUCAAUAAUUGCUCCAUAAUGAAAUCGGGGGAUCACGACCUUACGUCACUCCGAUAGAGUAUAGAUGAUCUUGAGCCUUAUGCAUGUAUUAUGUUAAGAUAAACAUAUUAUGAUAAGUAUAUGAUUAUAAGUAUUUUAUGAUGAGCAUGUCAUGAUUGCAUCACACCGCGCCUAGUUGGCCGGGCAGUCACCGCUAAGGCGGGCAGCUAUACGGAUACACCAUGACCUUUUUGGCAUGGGCAGACACCACUAGUGGGCGGCAUGAGAUGAUACCCCGAACGCGGGAGGCCUGGACGCGGGCUAAUGUUAUUGAUUAUCACACCGUACCUAUAUGGUCGGGUAGUUUAUAUACAUAUGUGUUAUGCAUACAUGAGAUGAUGAGUAUGGAAGUAGACAGGGAGACGAUCUUGAUCCAGGUGCAUAGGAGUUAGCGGCUGAUUUGAGAGCACUCCAUUGUUCGGAGGUGCUUAUGGUUAUUCUGUUGUGUAUAUCUAUGUAUAUUUUGGGCAUGACGGAGUCUUGUUCCGCCUAUAUGUAUAGUACUUCAGUAGAGGCUCGUAGGUACGCAGUGUGGGUAGUAUGGUCUCACAGUUUUUACGUAUAUGCAUACUACUAUUUUGAUAGCCUAAGGGCUUAUGUUUAUAAAAGUAUGAUUUCUAGCAUGAAUUGUAUAUCAAUUUG